CCAAUUUACAUUCUUGCCAAAAUUGAGCUUUUGAUCACAUUCCUCUCAACAAUUAAUACUAUCAAAUGGCUUUGAAUAUUCCAGAAUUCAGGGAAUGAUGUUCACGUGAAGGCUUCUUAUGGAAUCUGCUAGAGGAAAAACUGUCACCAGUCAAAGAAUGACUGAGGAAACCUCAAGAAGACUUCUCACAUAAAUCUGCCUAUAGAUUUAAGGCCAAGAAAAGGUAAAAACAAGGAUCACAGAAUAGAAUAGAAGUGGCAUAUGAUCCGACAACUUAAAAAAGAUAAAACUAAAAAAAUGGAUAGAGGGAGUGAAAGUGGAGAAAAGAAUAAUCUCACUGACGCCAUCUAUAAUAUAAAAACUGAGACAUUUAAAGUUGAAAAAUCAUGUUUUAGAAGUAUAAUAUACUUAACAAUACAAAAGUCAACACUAAAAAAGGCGAUAUUACUGACUAAAAUUGCAUGAUGGAGGGCAAGGAAUGAAGGGGAAGCAGAGAAUACAAGCUAAUUUUACGCUGCUCAUAUUAGAAAAAUUGUAGAUAUGAUUCUAAAGAAAAAAGAGGAAAAGGUAUUAAAUAAAGAUAUAAUUAUAUAGCCACUAAACAAAAGAAAGAGACCACAUAGAAGAGACUUUAAAAAUGUUACAUAUAUAACAUUAUAGAACUAAAAUUAAUCAUACCAAUAAAUGUAGAUUUAAUUUACCUAGCAAAGGAAAAAGAUUGAUUUUCUGAUUGAUUGAGUCACAAAUCUAUGUCACAAACCCAACUAUUAGGCUCUCUAUAAGAGUAACCCUGAAAAUAAAAUUAUUCAGAAAAGUUAAGAUAAAAAAAGAUGAACAAAGAUAUAGCAGGAAAAUGCAAACAAGAAGAAAGUAGUGGUUGCAAUACAACAUUAGAGAAGGUAGAAUUCAGGCCAAAAAGAAAUAAUAAAGUUAGUUUAUAAUGCAUACAUACCAAAAUGAGAAUGUAACAGUUAUGAAUAACUCUGUACUAACAAUGUAGCAGCAAUGUUGAUAAAAACAAAUUGUGUGAGGCAAAGGAGAACCAGGUGGAAACAGCAGUGGGAAACUUUGUCUCCUUUCUCUCAGUGAAGUCAGAUCAAAUGGACAAAAAUAAGGUAUGCUUCAGAGCACUGCAAAAGCAAGCAUUACUAGAGGGAGUAAAAUUCCAGAAACUAAGAGGAGAGAGAGACUUUUACAAGUGAACUGAGAAUCUGCAGUUUCCUUUCCCAGAGGUAUUUGCCAAUUCCAGGCAUGGGCUAGAGGCUGAAGAUCUGGGACUGGUCCAGACAGAGGGUUUC
rnacentral:lncRNA from 1 species